rnacentral:rRNA from 1 species
GUCCACGCCGUAAACGAUGAGUGCUAGGUGCUGCGGGUAUUGACCCCUGCGGUGCCGUAGCUAACGCGUUAAGCACUCCGCCUGGGGGAGUACGGCCGCAAGGCUAAAACUCAAAGGAAUUGACGGGGGCCCGCACAAGCGGUGGAGCAUGUGGUUUCAAUUUCGACGCAACGCGCAGAACCUUACCUGGGUUAAAUCCACUCAAAGCUGGCAGAGAUGCCGGGGUGCCCUUCGGGGAAUGAGUGAGAAGGUGCUGCAUGGCUGUCGU